UACGAAGGGUGCAAGCGUUACUCGGAAUUACUGGGCGUAAAGGGUGCGUAGGUGGUUUUUUAAGUCCGUUGUGAAAUCCCUGGGCUCAACCUGGGAAUGGCAGUGGAUACUGGAAAGCUAGAGUGCGGUAGAGGGUAGUGGAAUUCCACGUGUAGCGGUGAAAUGCGUAGAGAUGUGGAGGAACACCAGUGGCGAAGGCGACUCUUUGGCCUGUAACUGACGCUGAGGCGCGAAAGCGUGGGGAGCAAACAGG
rnacentral:rRNA from 1 species